ACGAGGGCUCGACGCUUCCUCCUCCAUAGGGCGGGCACCCCCAGACGCUCUGUCACCAUCAGACGUGUCGCUGAUGAUGAUAGGUUCCCCCUCGACCCCCAAUCGAGGGGGCUCGGGGGCUCCCUCUGACGCUUGCGUCUGGGACGCCUCGCCACAAGUCGGCGGCGACGAGGCAGGCACGGGACGAGACGGAGCCCUCUCGACGCCGGCUGGAGGUUGGGAACUGGAGGAGCCU
rnacentral:lncRNA from 1 species